GACGAACGCUGGCGGCGUGCUUAACACAUGCAAGUCGAACGGAAAGGCCCUGCUUUUGUGGGGUGCUCGAGUGGCGAACGGGUGAGUAACACGUGAGUAACCUGCCCUUGACUUUGGGAUAACUUCAGGAAACUGGGGCUAAUACCGGAUAGGAGCUCCUGCUGCAUGGUGGGGGUUGGAAAGUUUCGGCGGUUGGGGAUGGACUCGCGGCUUAUCAGCUUGUUGGUGGGGUAGUGGCUUACCAAGGCUUUGACGGGUAGCCGGCCUGAGAGGGUGACCGGCCACAUGGGGAUGGAGAUACGGCCCAGACUCGUACGGGAGGCAGCAGGGGGGAAUAUGGCACAAGGGGCGGAAGCCUGAUGCAGAAACGCCGCGUGCGGGAUGACGGCCUUCGGGUUGUAAACCGCUUUCGCUUGUGACGAAGCGUGAGUGACGGUAAUGGGGAAAGAAGCACCGGCGAACUACGU
rnacentral:rRNA from 1 species